GACGAACGCUGGCGGCGUGCCUAAUACAUGCAAGUAGAACGCUGAAGGAGGAGCUUGCUCUUCUGGAUGAGUUGCGAACGGGUGAGUAACGCGUAGGUAACCUGCCUGGUAGCGGGGGAUAACUAUUGGAAACGAUAGCUAAUACCGCAUAACAGUAGAUGUUGCAUGACAUUUGCUUAAAAGGUGCAAUUGCACCACUACCAGAUGGACCUGCGUUGUAUUAGCUAGUUGGUGGGGUAACGGCUCACCAAGGCGACGAUACAUAGCCGACCUGAGAGGGUGAUCGGCCACACUGGGACUGAGACACGGCCCAGACUCCUACGGGAGGCAGCAGUAGGGAAUCUUCGGCAAGGGACGGAAGUCUGACCGAGCAACGCCGCGUGAGUGAAGAAGGUUUUCGGAUCGUAAAGCUCUGUUGUAAGAGAAGAACGAGUGUGAGAGUGGAAAGUUCACACUGUGACGGUAUCUUACCAGAAAGGGACGGCUAACUACGUG
rnacentral:rRNA from 1 species